rnacentral:rRNA from 1 species
GACGGGUGAGUAAUGCCUAGGAAAUUGCCCUGAUGUGGGGGAUAACCAUUGGAAACGAUGGCUAAUACCGCAUAAUGCCUACGGGCCAAAGAGGGGGACCUUCGGGCCUCUCGCGUCAGGAUAUGCCUAGGUGGGAUUAGCUAGUUGGUGAGGUAAGGGCUCACCAAGGCGACGAUCCCUAGCUGGUCUGAGAGGAUGAUCAGCCACACUGGAACUGAGACACGGUCCAGACUCCUACGGGAGGCAGCAGUGGGGAAUAUUGCACAAUGGGCGCAAGCCUGAUGCAGCCAUGCCGCGUGUGUGAAGAAGGCCUUCGGGUUGUAAAGCACUUUCAGUCGUGAGGAAGGUAGUGUAGUUAAUAGCUGCAUUAUUUGACGUUAGCGACAGAAGAAGCACCGGCUAACUCCGUGCCAGCAGCCGCGGUAAUACGGAGGGUGCGAGCGUUAAUCGGAAUUACUGGGCGUAAAGCGCAUGCAGGUGGUUUGUUAAGUCAGAUGUGAAAGCCCGGGGCUCAACCUCGGAAUUGCAUUUGAAACUGGCAGACUAGAGUACUGUAGAGGGGGGUAGAAUUUCAGGUGUAGCGGUGAAAUUCGUAGAUAUUCGGUGAAACACCAGUGGCGAAGGCGGCUAACUGGACUGGUACUGACGCUGAGGCGCGAAAGUGUGGGGAGCAAACAGG